rnacentral:rRNA from 1 species
AUUGAACGCUGGCGGCAGGCCUAACACAUGCAAGUCGAGCGGAUGAAGGGAGCUUACUCCUGGAUUCAGCGGCGGACGGGUGAGUAAUGCCUAGGAAUCUGCCUGGUAGUGGGGGAUAACGUCCGGAAACGGGCGCUAAUACCGCAUACGUCCUUAGGGAGAAAGUGGGGGAUCUUCGGACCUCACGCUAUCAGAUGAGCCUAGGUCGGAUUAGCUAGUUGGUGGGGUAAAGGCCUACCAAGGCGACGAUCCGUAACUGGUCUGAGAGGAUGAUCAGUCACACUGGAACUGAGACACGGUCCAGACUCCUACGGGAGGCAGCAGUGGGGAAUAUUGGACAAUGGGCGAAAGCCUGAUCCAGCCAUGCCGCGUGUGUGAAGAAGGUCUUCGGAUUGUAAAGCACUUUAAGUUGGGAGGAAGGGCAGUAAGUUAAUACCUUGCUGUUUUGACGUUACCAACAGAAUAAGCACCGGCUAACUUCGUG